rnacentral:tRNA from 1 species
GCUGAGAUAGCUCAGUUGGUAGAGCAACUGAUUCGUAAUCAGUAGGUCGGAGGUUCAAAUCCUCUUCUCAGCA